ensembl:lncRNA
CUCACGUGGAUAUCACAUAACAAAGAUGUGAUUAAUGACAAAAAAGCACACUCUGAAGCGCAUUCAUUGUGAUUGGUAAUCAUUUAAGGUUAGCGUGAUGGCGAAAGCCUGUGGGUAUUUUCAGCUCAUCCUCCAGAGCAGGAAAAGGAGCCCACUGGAGGUAGAAGACAGCUGAGACUUCACCCUGUACCGGAAGCCUGAAGGCUCCAGACGGAGCCCCAACUUUUCAGCCUGUGCCUGUGACCUCUUGCAGACUUCUGCUCCGCUGCCUGGUCCCUGUCCUCUGGUGGCCGGGAGAUGUUACUGCAACUUCACUGGGAUUACUGGAGCUCUAACCACAGACCUGCAGUUUUUAGAACAAGUUUGGAGAGACUUCAGUGAUCUGAAAAAAGGGAAUGAGAAGGAAGAGAAUGAAAACAAUGAAACAUGAACUAUUGCAAGAAAUCUGAGCAUUUUUUCAGAGGAGAAAAAUAGGAUAAUAUGUAGUUAGAGACAGAGG